GGGGACGUUUGGGUUCGACAAAAGUGUAAUGGUUUAAAUUGCAAGUGGACGGGAGUCCUUAAAUCCACAAUUAAAUAUAACUGGAAACAGACAACAAUUAUCUUUCGCUUAAAAAUUAUUUAGCGAGCUCUAACUUAUUCCUAGCUUACGGGAAUAUUUUAGGGUAAUACCAAGUAAGCUAUAUUAUUAUGAAUCCUAUAAGUAAUAAUGAAUAUUAAUAGGAUAGUUAUCUAUAUAGAAGUCAGUUACUAAGUAGAUAAUGAAAAUAAAUAACUGACUAAACUUGUAGACGUUUAAAUUAAUUUGCUUUUGGACAGGAGUUCAAUUCUCCUCGUCUCCACCA
rnacentral:tmRNA from 1 species